GUGAGUCGGUGAGGAAGCAUCCGAGCACCGAGCUGGGUUGCAGAGGACUAGCGGAGGAAACUGGACUAGGCCACGGAGUGACAACAGCGUGUCCAGUGGUGCCAACAGAAGCCGCGCAGGGGUUUCAGGUGGAACGAGGGACUUUGAAUAUGUCGGGGAUUGCCCUCAGCCGACUUGCGCAGGAGAGGAAAGCCUGGAGGAAGGACCACCCUUUUGGCUUUGUGGCUGUCCCAACAAAGAACCCUGAUGGCACGAUGAACCUGAUGAACUGGGAGUGUGCUAUCCCUGGAAAGAAGGGGACUCCGUGGGAAGGAGGCUUGUUCAAGCUACGGAUGCUUUUCAAAGAUGACUAUCCGUCCUCACCACCAAAAUGUAA
rnacentral:lncRNA from 1 species